rnacentral:lncRNA from 1 species
GAAAAUCCGUGUUACACAGGCAGAUAGUGAUAGAACAAGGGGAAAUGGUUUUAAACUAAAAGAGGGAAUAUUUAGAUUAGAUGUCAGAGGGAAAUUUUUCACUAAGAGGGUGAUGAGGUGCUGGAACAGGCUGCCCAGGGAAGUUGUGAAUGCCCCAUCCCUGGAGGUGUUCAAUGCCAGAUUGGAUGGUGCCCUGGGUAGCCUGAUCUAGUGCUUGAUCUAGUGGUUGGCAAUCCUGCUCAUGACAGUGGGGUUGGAACUUGAUGAUCUUUGAGAUCCCUUCCAACCCAAGACAUUCUAUGAUUCCAUAAUUCAUAACUUUUCAAGAAUCAAGGGAAUAUGGCUCCCAUCUUCAUAGGUGACACUUUUAUCCUAAACACAGCAAUGACAUUUCCCACCUCUAUGAACAUUAAAUGCUAGAACAGAAUAUUAUCAGUUCAGUGGUGAGUAUGAUCUAGAAACUGUCUUAACCUCACAACGAAGGUCCCAGUCUGUGUGUUUUUUGUUUUUAAGUUAAUUUGGCAUUUAUUACUAAUUAACACAGGUGGUUUAAUACCAGGUGUGAAAUGAUGGAGCAAUCUCCACGGCAGCCUUGGCUUAACAACACUCCACUGCAGGUAUAAUUACAUCAUUAUGGCAUCACUGACGAUGUAAUAACAACACAUAAACACAUGCCCAUUCUAGCUGUCAGCAAACUGUGAACCCAGUGCAACAUGGAGCUCAUUAAGAGCCCUGAAAAAAUACCCAAGAGUUUAGAAGCCACCACCAAGGACUGUGCUGCUCUAUGGCUGAAAACAAUAGCUUCUGUUCUUGUCUGCUUCCCAAGGCUGCUAUGAGAACCAGAAUCUGCCAGCUAAGCAGGACAAAUUGAGAGGUGUGAGAGGUGUUGCAGAGGAAGCAUCUAACGCUAUAUUGGGAAGAAAAACUGCCAUAAAAGGGAUUGGACAAACUCUUCAAAUGGAGGUAAACAAUGUGGAUUACUUGUUCGAUGGACUGAACAACGUGUGCUAGUCUGUAAGGAGUCAAUACCUGAAGGCUAGGAGCACAUCCCAAAG